UGCCAGCCGCCGCGGUAAUACAGAGGGUGCAAACGUUGUUCGGAAUUAUUGGGCGUAAAGCGCGUGUAGGCGGUUCGUUAAGUCUGAUGUGAAAGCCCGGGGCUCAACCCCGGAAGUGCAUUGGAAACUGGCGAACUUGAGUACGGGAGAGGUGAGUGGAAUUCCCGGUGUAGCGGUGGAAUGCGCAGAUAUCGGGAGGAACACCAUUAGCGAAGGCGGCUCACUGGGCCGAUGCUGACGCUGAGGAGCGAAAGCGUGGGGAGCAAACAGGAUUAGAUA
rnacentral:rRNA from 1 species